ACGACCUUACUUGAACAGGAUCUGUUCUAUAGGCUCGUACCUCUGUAUCCUUAAGUUCUAAGGAGACAGGAACUGAAGUCUGGUGGAUGAACCAUGACCCUGUGAUCAGAGCGUGAUUAACGGUAGUGUGCGUCUUGUUUGCGUAGGCCCAUCACCAACUGUAGAGGAUCGUUCCCUGACCUUUGUGGCUGGGGAUGGUCGCAGGGUUGUCUGACAGACU
rnacentral:snoRNA from 2 species